rnacentral:lncRNA from 1 species
AGCGCGGGCCUCUGGGUUCCGAGGGUGCUGGUGACCUGAGAAGAAGGGAGGGGACAGAGGAGGAGACACACCUGAUCAGCCCGGGAGACUUUGGAGGAGGCGGGCCGGCCGGGAGGAAGUGGCGGGGAGGAGGGACCGGAGCACCCCAGGAUCGAAGAGGGCGCACGGGCCCGGCCCUCCCACGCGCCCUCCAGGGACCCGGCAGCCAGACAGACGGACAGGCGGACCGCUAGGGAGCUCAAGUACCCGGACACACGCACGAGCGCAGAACAAAGGGCCGGACAUGCUCCAGCCCGCUCCGCCUGCGCCUCGGCCUUGCGCGCGGGGGCCCGGGUUACCUGCGCAGAGCCAGCUGUGAUGUAAAGAAGUUUGUGCUGCAUGAGAGAGAUAGCACCUGAAGAAAAUGAGGCCCUGGAGGAUGAGAGACUCUAAAGGAAAAGGGAAGGGCCUGCUGUCUUCCAGCCACGCCAGCCCCCAACUGAGAAGCUGGUGCCCUUGGUGUGGUGGAAGCAAGGUGCCAUGUGAUAAGUAAGCCUCCAGAGAGGCCUGCAUGGCAGGAUCCAAUGUCUUUAGCCAACAGCAUCUGGGAACCUGAGACCUGCCAACACCCUUGUGAGUGAGCCUGGAAGUGGACCUCCUGCUCUUGAACCUUGAGGUGACUAUAGUGCUGGCUGACACCUUGACUGCAGUCCCUGAGCUGGGGGGCCCAGCUGAUCUACUCCCAGAAUCCCCCCUACUAAAACAGUGAUAUAAUAAAUGCUUAUUGUUUCAAGCUGGUAA